rnacentral:rRNA from 1 species
UCGCAAGAUUAAAACUCAAAGGAAUAGACGGGGACCCGCACAAGCGGUGGAGCAUGUGGUUUAAUUCGACGAUACACGAAGAACCUUACCUGGACUUGACAUAGUAAGAACUUUCUAGAGAUAGAUUGGUGUCUGCUUGCAGAAACUUAUAUACAGGUGCUGCACGGCUGUCGUCAGCUCGUGUCGUGAGAUGUUGGGUUAAGUCCCGCAACGAGCGCAACCCUCGUCAUUAGUUGCUAACAGUUCGGCUGAGAACUCUAAUGAGACUGCCUACGCAAGUAGGAGGAAGGUGAGGACGACGUCAAGUCAUCAUGGCCCUUACGUCCAGGGCUACACACGUGCUACAAUGGGGUAUACAAAGAGCCGCAAUACGGUGACGUGGAGCAAAUCUCAAAAAUAUCUCCCAGUUCGGAUUGUAGUCUGCAACUCGACUACAUGAAGUUGGAAUCGCUAGUAAUCGUAGAUCAGCUAUGCUACGGUGAAUACGUUCCCGGGUCUUGUACUCACCGCCCGUCACACCAUGGGAGUUGAACUCAUUCGAAGCGGGGAUGCUAAAAUAGCUACCUUCCACAGUGGAUUUAGCGACUGGGGUGAAGUCGUAACAAGGUAACC